rnacentral:rRNA from 1 species
CCUACGGGAGGCAGCAGUGAGGAAUAUUUGUCAAUUUACUAUAUUCUUAACCAUCCAAAUAUCUUUAAUUAUUACUUCCCUAUUUUUUUUCCCCUUCUUUUCUCUUUUCAUCCCCUGUUCCACGUGUGGGAUUUUGUAUGUACCAUAUGAAUAAGGAUCGGCUAACUCCGUGCCAGCAGCCGCGGUAAUACGGAGGAUCCGAGCGUUAUCCGGAUUUAUUGGGUUUAAAGGGAGCGUAGGUGGAUUGUUAAGUCAGUUGUGAAAGUUUGCGGCUCAACCGUAAAAUUGCAGUUGAAACUGGCAGUCUUGAGUACAGUAGAGGUGGGCGGAAUUCGUGGUGUAGCGGUGAAAUGCUUAGAUAUCACGAAGAACUCCGAUUGCGAAGGCAGCUCACUGGACUGCAACUGACACUGAGGCUCGAAAGUGUGGGUAUCAAACAGGAUUAGAUACCCGAGUAGUC